AUGAGGAUAUCAUCUACCUUCCUCCUCCUCUUAUGCGCCUCGACAACUCUGGCCACGGGCACCGGCGUUCGCAUUCAGCUCAAGCAUGUCGAUGCCGACGCCAACAUCACGACCGCGGAGCGGCUGCGCCGCGCCGGCGUGCGCCUCCAGCGGCGCCUUGAGUUACUUAGCGGGGUCGCCGUGCCCUUCACCUCUCGGGGGGUGGGGGACUACAUCGCCGAGUUUUCCAUCGGCGACCCGCCGCAAGCCGUGCAGGGCGUCAUCGACACCAGCAGCGUCCUGGUGUGGACCCAAUGCAUGACGUGCAGGCCCAACUGCUUCGCCCAGAACCUCGAGUACUACGACUUCUCCCUGUCGAGCACCGGCAGAGCCGUCCCCUGCAACAGCUCCCUGUGCGCCGACGACAACGCGUACGAGAAGCAGCGGUGCGCGGGCGGCCACGGCGGCACGUGUACUGUCCGGGCGAGCUACGGCGAAGCGGGCAUCGCUGGGGUGCUGCGCAGAGAGAGGUUCACUUUCGGGACGACCACGGCCAACAUCGCCUUCGGCUGCAUCACGGAGACGAACAACUCCGUGCAGAUGGCGCUCGACGGCGCGUCGGGCCUCAUCGGCCUGGGUUACGGCGACCUGUCGCUCGUCACCCAGCUUGGCGCCACCCGGUUUUCGUACUGCCUCACCCGGUUCUUCGGCGGCAAGGUCAGCUCGAGCACCCUCUUCAUCGGCCCGUCGGCCGGGCUGAGCGGCGACACGCCGGUGACGUCCAUCCCGUACCAAAAUCUCGGCGUUCCUUUCUCUUCGUUCUACUACCUGCUCGUGUCCGGCAUGUCGGUCGGCAGAGCUUGGCUGAACAUCCCAUUUCCGGCGCUGGGCGUGAUCGUCGACUCCAACUUCCCGUUCAUGUCCCUCGUCGACGUGGCCUACAAGGAGCUCAUUCAAGAGGUGUCGCGGCAGCUGGGAGGUCGCCUGGUGGCGUCGCCAGUGGACUGGCUGGAGCUGUGCGUGGCGGCAGCGGACGUCCGCAGGCUUGCGCCGCCGAUGGUGCUUCAUUUCCAAGAUGGCGGCGAGGAUUUGACGAUCCCAGCGGAGAAUAUGUGGGCGCCCAUGGACCGGGAGUCGACGUCGUGUAUGAUGGUCAUCAACUCGGCGACCCUGGAGCCGCCCAUGAACCGAACCACCAUUAUCGGCAGCUAUAUGCAGCAGGAUAUGCAUGUGCUGUACGAUCUUGACAACCACCAGAUAUCUUUCCAGAAAGCAGACUGCAACACUAUCUGA
rnacentral:rRNA from 1 species